rnacentral:rRNA from 1 species
UGAACGCUGGCGGUAGGCUUAACACAUGCAAGUCGUGCGAGAAAGUAUCUUCGGAUAUGAGUAGAGCGGCGGACGGGUGAGUAACGCGUAGGAAUCUACCUAGUAGAAGGGGAUAGCCCGAGGAAACUCGGAUUAAUACCGUAUACCUCCUUUGGGAGAAAGAAGGCCUCUCUUUGAAGCUUUCGCUACUAGAUGAGCCUGCGUAAGAUUAGCUUGUUGGUGAGGUAAAGGCUCACCAAGGCUACGAUCUUUAGCGGGUCUGAGAGGACGAUCCGCCACAUUGGGACUGAGACACGGCCCAGACUCCUACGGGAGGCAGCAGUGGGGAAUAUUGGACAAUGGGCGCAAGCCUGAUCCAGCCAUACCGCGUGUGUGAAGAAGGCCCUAGGGUUGUAAAGCACUUUAAGUUGGGAAGAAAAGUUAUUGGCUAAUACCCAAUGACCGUGACAUUACCAUCAGAAUAAGGACCGGCUAAUUCCGUGCCAGCAGCCGCGGUAAUACGGAAGGUCCAAGCGUUAAUCGGAAUUACUGGGCGUAAAGCGCGCGUAGGUGGUUUAUUAAGUUGGGUGUGAAAUCCCCGGGCUCAACCUGGGAACUGCAUCCAAAACUGAUUCACUAGAGUACGAUAGAGGGAGGUAGAAUUCACAGUGUAGCGGUGGAAUGCGUAGAUAUUGUGAAGAAUACCAAUGGCGAAGGCAGCCUCCUGGAUCUGUACUGACACUGAGGUGCGAAAGCGUGGGUAGCGAACAGGAUUAGAUACCCUGGUAGUC